UGCCAGUGUGUGUGUGUGUGUGUGUGUAUCUGUAUGUUAGAUACAUAUACACACACACACAUACACACUGACACA